GCUCCUGUGGAUCAGUUGGUAGAUCGUCCUCUUCUGUUGUGCAGACGGCUAGACAUUCAGAAGAAGAUGUGGGUUCGAAUCCCAGGGGCA